rnacentral:rRNA from 1 species
UACGAAGGGGCUAGCGUUGUUCGGAAUCACUGGGCGUAAAGCGCACGCAGGCGGAUCGUUAAGUCAGGGGUGAAAUCCCGAGGCUCAACCUCGGAACUGCCUUUGAUACUGGCGAUCUUUGAGUCCGGGAGAGGUGAGUGGAACUCCGAGUGUAGAGGUGAAAUUCGUAGAUAUUCGGAAGAACACCAGUGGCGAAGGCGGACUCACUGGCCCGGUACUGACGCUGAGGUGCGAAAGCGUGGGGAGCAAACAGG